rnacentral:rRNA from 1 species
GACGAACGCUGGCGGCGUGCUUAACACAUGCAAGUCGAACGGAAAGGCCCUGCUCUUGUUGGUUGCUCGUGUGGCGAACGGGGGAGUGACACGUGAGUAACCUGCACUUGUCUUUCUGAUAACUUCUGGAAACUGGGGCUAAUACCGGGUAGGAGCUCCUGCUCCAUGUUGUUGGUUGGAAAGUUUCGGCGGUUGGGGAUGGUCUAGCGGUUUAUCAGCUUGUUGGUGGGGUAGUGGCUUACCAAGGCUUUGACGGCUAGCCGGCCUGAGAGGGUGACCGGCCACAUUGGGACUGGGAUACGGCCCAGAGGCAUACGGGAGGCAGGAGCGGGGAAUAUUGCACGAAGGGCGGAAGCCUGAAGCAGCAACGCCGCGUGCUGGAUGACUGCUUUCGGGUUGGAAACAGCUUGUGCGUGUGACGACGCGUGAGGACGGGAAAUAGGUAAAGAAGCACCGGCAACCUACUG